ensembl:lncRNA novel transcript, antisense to CDH12
ACCCGGAUAAAGCAGCACUUACCUUAAUUGAAAUUUUCUCUGUGAACGAGGUGAGAAAUCCGUCAAAUCAACCGUGAAUGGGGUGGGGAGAUCGAAGUUUUCAAUCAACACCCUCCAAGUAGCUGCAUCCUGUGCUCCUUUUCCCUGUUAUGUUGAGCUCCUCACUGUCUAAGGAGAGAAAAACAUCAGCUGAAAUCCUCCGAGGUUCCCACCUAAUGGAUGAACUACAACUAUGAUUAUGAUUUGCAAGGAGAUUAGCUGCCGUGCUAGCCAUCGCAGGACUUAAACAAAUGUGCUUUCUCCUGCUGUUUUUCAAGGUGCCUUCGUGUAAGAUAUUAGGUACAGUGAAGCAAUUAAUAGACUGAUAGAGCUGAUUUGUAAGACAAGCUUAAAGCUGAAAAAUGUUUAAAGCGAUGUGAUCAAAGAGAUAGCUGCACUUGUCUCUGCCGCUCGCCUGCUACAUACUUCAACCUUUGUCGAACUAAAAUGAAUUUAAAGGUUUAUUACAGCCCUCCAGAGUGCAACUCUCUGAAUUUAUAAAAAGGAAGUAUUCAUACUAAAUAAGCAUAUUUGGCAGAUUGCUACAGACACAAGCACUCAAACCACGGCAUGAACACAGCCUUGCUUGUGUAGUUUUCCAAACGGCAUUUUCAAUUAGCAUUACACUUGCAAAAAAUGUUUGCAUUGUACCCUUAACCAGAGUAAUGUAGGAGAAUACAGCACUACACCUAACCGAAUCAUCUCUUUGAUUAUCUGUUGAAAUACUGAUUUCCUAAAACAAAAACAAGCAAGCAUAUGAGAGGAUCGAAAAUAUCUAACAACUUUUUAAACGUAGCUAUGUGCCGUUACCAACCUGCUGGUCCCCAUCCGUCAUCCGCUCUUUCUGCCACUGACCACCUUCUCAGCACUUCCUCAUCAAGUUCCUAGUUCCCUGAAGAGAUCUAACUCUCUGGAAAAGGUCACAUAACUGAAUGCCAAAGCCCCAAAUGGUUAAUUUUUGACAGCUCUCACUUUUGCAGGAUAAAAUUAUGCAAAUAACAUAAAAAGAACAGAUGAAAA